UACAGAGGGGGCAAGCGUUGUUCGGAAUUACUGGGCGUAAAGGGCGCGUAGGCGGCCUUCUAAGUCGAACGUGAAAUCCCCGGGCUCAACCCGGGAACUGCGUCCGAUUCUGGAAGGCUUGAAUCCGGGAGAGGGAUGCGGAAUUCCAGGUGUAGCGGUGAAAUGCGUAGAUAUCUGGAGGAACACCGGUGGCGAAGGCGGCAUCCUGGACCGGCAUUGACGCUGAGGCGCGAAAGCCAGGGGAGCAAACGGG
rnacentral:rRNA from 1 species